UCGCUCUCUCUCCCUUGCGUUGUCGAUAAACCCAGAAAAAAAAAGGAGCAAACCCUGCCGUUUCAUGGCGAGUUAAGACAAUCAACCGCCGCUAUCACCAUCUCCACCUCGCCACGAGUUCAAAGAUUCCAUUUUUGUUGGAAAACUCGAAGCGAAGUCCCGGACGCCUCCGACAUGAUCGCGAUUUUCUGGCGAGUUUCUCCCCGCUUGAAGCGUCGAUUCGAACAGGGGUUUUCCCCGAUUUCCGCCGAUAUCGGAGCCGGAUCCCGACUAUCCAGCCGUCCAUAGUAGCCCAAAUAUGUUGUUUGACAUCUCCGGUACAAGUUUAGUGCAUUGGUUGUGAGCUUUGGUUGAAAUUGGAGUUAAAUCGAAGCUGCAAAAUUCAAAAUUCCUUGAAGUUGCCGGCGUUUUUCUCCAGAAACCGGCGAGACUUUUCGGCGGCUAGGACCGGUUCACCGGAACUUAACGGCUCAGCCAGACCGGCGGUUGACGGUUCAUUUCGGUCGGACCCG
rnacentral:sRNA from 1 species